rnacentral:rRNA from 1 species
UACGGAGGGAGCUAGCGUUGUUCGGAAUUACUGGGCGUAAAGCGCGCGUAGGCGGCUUUGUAAGUUAGAGGUGAAAGCCCGGAGCUCAACUCCGGAACUGCCUUUAAAAACUGCAUCGCUUGAUCCAGGAGAGGUGAGUGGAAUUCCGAGUGUAGAGGUGAAAUUCGUAGAUAUUCGGAAGAACACCAGUGGCGAAGGCGGCUCACUGGACUGGUAUUGACGCUGAGGUGCGAAAGCGUGGGGAGCAAACAGG